AUUGGACGCUGGCGGCAUGCUUUACACAUGCAAGUCGAACGGCAGCGCGGGCUUCGGCCUGGCGGCGAGUGGCGAACGGGUGAGUAAUACAUCGGAACGUGCCCAGUAGUGGGGGAUAGCUCGGCGAAAGCCGGAUUAAUACCGCAUACGACCUGAGGGUGAAAGCGGGGGAUCUUCGGACCUCGCGCUAUUGGAGCGGCCGAUGGCAGAUUAGCUAGUUGGUGGGGUAAAGGCCUACCAAGGCGACGAUCUGUAGCUGGUCUGAGAGGACGACCAGCCACACUGGGACUGAGACACGGCCCAGACUCCUACGGGAGGCAGCAGUGGGGAAUUUUGGACAAUGGGCGAAAGCCUGAUCCAGCAAUGCCGCGUGUGUGAUGAAGGCCUUCGGGUUGUAAAGCACUUUUGGCGGGAACGAAAAGGACUGUGCCAAUACCACGGUUCGAUGACGGUACCCGCAGAAUAAGCACCGGCUAACUACGU
rnacentral:rRNA from 1 species